UCUCUUAAGCAGUGUAGGUUUAAAUAUUUUUAUUUUUUUAAUAAUACAAAUAUUUUUGCCCGUUAAAAAAAUAAACUAUUUAGAUUUACAGAAAACUUGCAAAGAAAGUUUAUAGUUUCCAUACACGUUUCACCAGUUUCCCCUAUAUAACCAUGUUACAUUUAAUGUGGUAUAUUUGACAUGGUACAUCAUCACACCAAGAAAUCAACAUUGAUACAUUACUUAACUGUGAACUUUUUCCAGGUUUCCCCAGUGUUUCCACUAAUAUCUUAAAAAAAAUACUUUUUUAUUUUACAACAGUUUUAGAUUUAUAGAAUCAUUACGAAGAUAGAACAGAGAGUUACCCUGUGUACCAGUUUCUCCUUUAUUAACAUCUCAUGUGGAACAUUUUCACAAUUAAUGAAACUGUAUUGAGAAAGUAUCAUUAACUAAAGUUCAUUCUUUAUUCAGGCCUAGAAUCAGAAAUUUCUCCAAAGAGUCCUGUUCCUUUCGUUGGAUAAUGGUAUUUAGAAACAAGAUCUGAACACUGGAUGUGCUUGUUGCUACUGGAUUGUAACUGUUGCUAGUCUCCCUCAGUGGACAGAGCCGAUACAUACAAGUUGGAGAGUGAGGGAGGGAGAAUUUUUUUUUUCUGGAUACAAGUCAUUUUUUGGUAUGUAUGUUAGGAAUAUUUUCUUCCAGUCUGUGGCUUGCCUUUUUGUGUUUUUAAUGAUGUUUUUAAAAGAGCAAAAGUUUUAAGUUUGAUGAAACCCAGUGUAUGUAUGUAUGUAUGUAUUUAUUUAUUUAAUGUGCCCUGCCAGGUGGCUCAGUUGGUUGGAGCAUCAUACACCAAAAAGGUUGAGGGUUUGAUCCUG